rnacentral:tRNA from 1 species
CGGGACGUAGCGCAGAGGUAGCGCACCCGGUUUGGGACCGGGAGGCCGCAGGUUCGAACCCUGCCGUCCCGACCA